AAUAAGCGAGCGCUGAAUCCCUGAAUAGGGAACGGGGGAACCACUUCUUGGGGUGAAUCCUUUUUCAGGUAGGGUUAACUUUCGACCCGAACCCGGCAGCUAACUUCGUAAGCGUAGAAAGGUGAGGUG
rnacentral:sRNA from 2 species